rnacentral:rRNA from 1 species
UACGUAGGGGGCAAGCGUUGUCCGGAUUCAUUGGGCGUAAAGAGCGUGUAGGCGGCCAGGUAGGUCGGUUGUGAAAACUGGAGGCUCAACCUUCAGAGGUCGACCGAAGCCAUCUGGCUAGAGUCCGGAAGAGGAAAGUGGAAUUCCUGGUGUAGCGGUGAAAUGCGCAGAUAUCAGGAAGAACACCAAUGGCGAAAGCAGCUUUCUGGGACGGUACUGACGCUGAGACGCGAAAGCGUGGGGAGCGAACAGG